rnacentral:rRNA from 1 species
UACGGAGGGUGCGAGCGUUGUCCGGAUUUAUUGGGUUUAAAGGGUGCGUAGGUGGCUUUAUAAGUCAGUGGUGAAAUACAGCCGCUUAACGGUUGAGGUGCCAUUGAUACUGUAGAGCUUGAAACAAUUGGAGGCUGCCGGAAUGGAUGGUGUAGCGGUGAAAUGCAUAGAUAUCAUCCAGAACACCGAUUGCGAAGGCAGGUGGCUACGUUUGAUUGACACUGAGGCACGAAGCAUGGGAGCAAACAGG